rnacentral:rRNA from 1 species
AAUGAACGCUGGCGGCAUGCCUAACACAUGCAAGUCGAACGAGACCAGCGGGUCUAGUGGCGCACGGGUGCGUAACGCGUGGGAACAUGCCCUUAGGUUUGGAAUAACUCCCCGAAUGGGGUGCUAAUACGGGAUAAUGUCUUCGGACCAAAGAUUUAUCGCCUUUGGAUGGUCCCGCGUUGGAUUAGCUAGUUGGUAGGGUAAAAGCCUACCAAGGGGACAAUUCAUAGCUGGUUAGAGAGGAUGCUCAGCCACACUGGGAGUGAGACACGGCCCAGACUCCUACGGGAGGCGGCAGUGGGGAAUAUUGGACAGUGGGCGGAAGCAUGAACGAGCAAUGCCGCGAGAGUGAUGAAGGCCUUAGGGUUGUAAAGCUCUUUUACCCGGGAUGAUAAUGACAGUACCGGGAGAAUAAGCUCCGGCUAACUCCGUG